AGCGUAUACGGUGGAUGCCUAGGCAGUUAGAGGCGAUGAAGGACGUGUAAGUCUGCGAAAAGCUGUGGUGAGCUGACAAAAAGCAUUUGAGCCACAGAUGUCCGAAUGGGGGAACCCACCGCUUCGGCGGUAUCGUUAACUGAAUACAUAGGUUAACGAGGCAAACGAGGGGAACUGAAACAUCUAAGUACCCUUAGGAAAAGAAAUCAACCGAGAUUCCCCAAGUAGCGGCGAGCGAACGGGGAGCAGCCGAGUAAUUAUGAGGUAGUGGAAUGUGUUGGAAAGCACAGCGAUACAGGGUGAUAGCCCCGUACACGAAGCAUCAUAGUUGCCAUAUUAAGUAGGUCGGGACACGUGUUAUCCUGACUGAAGAUGGGGGGACCAUCCUCCAAGGCUAAAUACUCCUAACUGACCGAUAGUGAACUAGUACCGUGAGGGAAAGGCGAAAAGAACCCCUGUGAGGGGAGUGAAAUAGAACCUGAAACCGUAUACGUACAAGCAGUAGGAGCCUGGAUUCUCUUCGGAGAUAGUAGGGUGACUGCGUACCUUUUGUAUAAUGGGUCAGCGACUUAUAUUUAGUAGCAAGGUUAACCGAUUAGGGGAGCCGUAGCGAAAGCGAGUGUUAACUGCGCGUUGAGUUGCUAGGUAUAGACCCGAAACCCGGUGAUCUAGCCAUGGGCAGGUUGAAGGUUGAGUAACAUCAACUGGAGGACCGAACCGACUAACGUUGAAAAGUUAGCGGAUGACUUGUGGCUGGGGGUGAAAGGCCAAUCAAACCGGGAGAUAGCUGGUUCUCCCCGAAAUCUAUUUAGGUAGAGCCUCGGACGAACACCAUUGGGGGUAGAGCACUGUUAAGGCUAGGGGGUCAUCCCGACUUACCAACCCUUUGCAAACUCCGAAUACCGAUGAGUGCUAUCCGGGAGACACACGGCGGGUGCUAACGUCGUCGUGAAGAGGGA
rnacentral:rRNA from 1 species